rnacentral:rRNA from 1 species
AUGCGUGAUCAGGUCGGCAUCGACCUGGACGGCUUCCCCCUCGACCACGAGUUCCCGGACGACUAUGGGCUAGAGGAAGAGGACGAGUGCGACAUCGAAGUGGAGCCUUUGUUCGAGGACGAGAUCGCCAACCAAGCCGCCGGUGCUAAGCCGAAGCGCAAGAGCAAGCGCACAAAGGCGUACACAUUGCCCGAGGACAAACUUCUUUGCGAGUGUUGGCGAGACAUUGGACAAGACCCCAAGACGGGCGCCGAACCAAAGCAUUCAACCUUUUGGAUUCGUGUCCACCAAAAGCUUCAUGAGCGCAAGAAGUUUCCACCUUACCAAUUUGUGAGUACGCGCGGAUGGGUCUCCAUUUCCAAGCGGUGGAGGAUGAUCCAAUAA